GCCAGUGUGGUGUAGUGGUUUAUUCGCUGGACUAUGUCUUUGGGGACCAGGGUUCGAAUCCCUGCUCAGCCA